rnacentral:misc_RNA from 1 species
CUAAUUAGCACCCUUCCA